rnacentral:rRNA from 1 species
CCUACGGGAGGCAGCAGUGAGGAAUAUUGGUCAAUGGGCGCGAGCCUGAACCAGCCAAGUCGCGUGAGGGAGUACUGCCCUAUGGGUUGUAAACCUCUUUUGUCGGGGAGCAAAAUCCGGACGUUUCCGGCUGUUAGAUUACCCGUAGGAACAGCAUCCGCUAACUCCGGUCCAGCACCCGCGGUAAUGCGGAGGAUGCCGGGGUUAUCCGGAUUUAUUGGGUUUAAAGGGUGAGCAGGGGGAUGUUUAAGUCAGCGGUCACAUCGUGGGGGUAAACCCCAACCAGCCGUUGAAACUGGGGAGCUUGAGUGGGCUAGAGGUAGGCGGAAUGCGUGGUGUAGCGGUGAAAUGCAUAGAUAUCACGCAGAACCCCGAUUGCGAAGGCAGCAUACCGGGGCACAACUGACGCUCAGGCACGAAAGCGUGGGUAUCGAACAGGAUUAGAUACCCCAGUAGUC